UAGCCGAUAAAUUCGAAUAGUGGCGGAGACGACGACGUAGCUGCCGCUAUGGACAGCGACGAAGUUGGAGUUGUGGAUUACGAGUUCAUCGACAACGACUCUGACAAUUCCAAUGAUGUUGCCUCACAUCGAUACCAGGUUUAUGUGAUUGGGGAGGAAGGUAUCUUGAAGGAGCUUGAGCUUGCUGGACAUCAAUACCUUGGUGGACCAGAAGACGGUGGGAAGAAGAUAGAUCUGAAGCCUGGAUUUCUGAUGGAGCAUGAUGAUAAUGCAUACUUCUGUCCCUUCUUGCCUCAUAGAACUUUGUUUAUUAUUGGGUUGGAGCUGUUGUGGUUGGAUUUGACUGAAAUUUCAGCUACUACAGAAUUCAGUUAGUUCUGGUGAUUCUUGUUUAUGUCAAUGCAUGUGUGUUGAACACACUGCAAAUUAAUUUUGUUGCAAGUGCACUUGUCACAUGUAUUGCAGUCUUCUCUGGUGGCAUUCAAUGUUUAUGUGAUGGAAGGUAUGGGACACUCUGUAUACGGACCCUGGAUGUCUUUUCAUUGCAACAAAUCAUGAUGCUGUCACUCAUCUCAUAGAUGCUCAGGAAUGGCAGAAUCAGUUCUAGCAGAAAGUGUUCAAAAUCUGAAUGAGAAAAUCGAUCGUAUCGAAGAGUGUUGACGACAUGGCGCAGAAGAUCCAUCAUUUGCAAUCUGUUUUGUUCACUCUUAAGGGAGACUCAUUGGGAGAGGCUUAACACUCUAGAAGAAGAGGUACGGCUUCUGUGGGCUGCAUCAAGAAAGUACAACUUCGAUCUUCAUGUUUUAGAGUCUAAAGCACAAGAUGCUGAGGAUAGACUCGAAACGGCUGCCUCUCAGGUGCAAAAGGUCAUGCACUGAUGUACUCAAUCUAUCUAUGGUCUAUGGCUAUGAGUGUGUGAUGUUGUUAGUGUGGUGUUCAUUUUGCCAUUGGCUUCUUUCUCUUUGCUUUCAAAUGCCUGACAUUGUUACAGAGCAAUGGAUUCAAAUUCAGCGGCUUGAGCAGGCUCUUCAUAUUACACAAGUUUUUUCUGCUUGAAACUGGCUUUAGUUCAUAAACAACUUUUCUGAUGACCCUCUGCUGAAGAUGCUUGGGCCUAACUCAGAUCCUAUUUAUCUCGAGCUUUGCAUCAGUUCAAGAGAGUUUUGCAGAUUUUAAAAGGUCUCACCAUGAGGAACUCUGAAGGCAGUUACAACAUUUCUUUAUGCCUGAAACUGGAAAAGAAUGAAUUCACAGCAGCUCUUGCAAAUGAGGAAUUAGUUUUCUUUAUGGCUUCCGCAUUAAUCACCUUCCCAGUAAUGAGUGCUUGGAUGUUGCUCUCAUCAAAACUCACUAGCUGAAAUCACAAGUUCUGAAUGAAAGAAAUUUUUGAGAAUUUGAUAUUGUUAACAGUUAUAUUUGAUAGCAACUGUUACCAUGUUGGCCUAAGUUAGGAGAUUUGACGCAUAGAUCAAUGCCUACAACAGCGACUGUAACCAUUACAAACAUGAAUGUAUAAUAGUUUGAAAGAUA